UGUCAAACAAUGUAACAUCUGCUGCAACUAACACACAACUCACACUUCUAACAGUAAAAUAUACUCCAUCCAAAUCAUCUGUAUUUAACAUACUACCGUCAAAAUUAAUCUUGAGAAUACUAGGAGAUAGUAAUUCCCAUGUAAAGUAACAAAUAUAAGAGAAUGCAGAAUCUACAAUAGGAAAGCUGCAAUUUUUCCCAACUAUCAAGACAUCUCCAGGGUAGUAGCAUUAAUGUACUUCUAUGCCUCACUGAUUGCUUUCAACAAAUUGAAUCUAGGACUUCAAGAAUUAUUUUAAAAAAUACGGUCAUUUCUAGCCAACUAAACAUUAUAAGCAACACAUGCUGCCAACACAACCUCUCUACUAUAGCGACAUGUAGAUGAUCUCUCAUAGAUGGUUUGGACGAAAGUAUCGAAAGAGAGAGAGUGGGAAUAAUAUCCGCAUUACUAUUAGAAGCUUGUCUCCAAAUUUGAUUCGCUAAUCCACAAAGUAAAAUAACAUUGAGAGGUAGUCUCCUCUAUCUCAAGGCAUAAAUCGCAAUGAUUUGGGAUAUGAAAACCCCGCUCAUGUAACUCCUCGACAUGGAAAGUGGUCUCAAGCUAUCUCCCAUAAAAAUAAGCAACCCUAGGAUAAAACACCAAUCCUUCAAAUCCACCCAAUGUUCCUCGUUGAUCGGGCAUUUGCCUUAAGGUAUUUAUAUAAAUCCGCAACUCUGACAGACAAUCCAUUUGAAGGACCCCAACUCAACU
rnacentral:lncRNA from 1 species